AGCAAUGUAAGGAGGCAAAACAAACCUCCUGAAGGAAGCUUAAAUUAAAAGGACCCCACUUCCCCAAGGAGGAGAUUUAGAGGCAGCCUGGUGACAUCUCUGUAGGUCCUAGGAGACAUCUUCAGCCCUUCAAACUCCCUUACAGAACAUUAUCUAUUAGUUCUACUAAGCCACACAGAGCUGACACCUCAUAUGAUGAUGGCAUACAGAAGAAGAGCUCCCUGGGAAGUCACACUCUGGACUGCAGUUCUUCCUCCACCAUAAGAAUCUAACAUUACAGUGGCUUCACUGGACCUCCAACUGCUUCAGAGCUCAGCAAUUCUGGAGUCACCUAUGGAAACAUUCAGUUAUUGGCUAAAGACAUCAUAGAUCACUGGAGAACUGGCAGAAAUGAGAAGGUGGAGUGACGGAAGGAGAUAUUACUCACAUAUCUUAACUAACUGUCACUCCCCAAGUGUAAGCUUUGAUAGCCCUAAAGGAACAUUCUCACUGAUUCUUAGAUUCUUGAAGAUAAUCUCUUGUCCAACCACCUGCUCAAUACAGGAUGGGCAGUGCAGGAUCCCUGACAGAUGGUCAUCCAGCCUCUGCUUAAACCUGUCCAGUGAAGGAGAAUCCACCACCUCCCAACUUCAGUCUGCUCUGCUCUCAAACUAUGGUUACCAUUAGGAAGUUUCUCUUAAUGGUUUGCUGAAAUCUGCUUCCCUCACUAGUUCUAGUCCUGCUCUCUGGAGAAUAAAUCUGUUCCAUCUUCUGCAUUGUUGGAAUUAUGGGGAUGCAACUUGGAUUGGGUGUUUUGCAUAUCUGAAGGGAGAUAGAGAGGAGUCCUCCAAGUUGCUAGGCUACUGUCAUGAGCCAUGCUAGCAGGGGGUGGACGGCAAGCAGGAGGGAGGCAAGGAGGACUUGGACUGGGACAUUCCAGUCAGGGAAGGACCCAGUGAGGGGAGGGACAAUGAAGCGGCUCCCGCUCCGGACAUUGACGGGUCACUUCCAGCAGUCCCAGACGCCCCCCCCCAAGAGAGACCACCAGACCUGCCGGUCACUCCUCUGCCUGAUGAGGCACCUCUCUCAGUGCCCGCGCCACCACCAGAGAGCCGUCUCCCGGCAGAGGAAGAGGACAGGACAGAGAUUGAGGCCCCAUCUUCACCCCAGUCCAGGAGGCGAAUGCGGCGGAAGCUUCAACAAUGCCAGCUCAGGAGGAGUCUGCACUUAACACGCAUGCCUCCAACAGUGACUUGGGGUACACACAGGCAGGGAGCCUGCCCAGCCUUACUUAAGCUGGGUGAGGGGGAAGAGUUAGUUGCUGAGUCAAGAUCUUAUUGCCGCCAAGUUGUGCCUAGUUAGCUACAGAGGGAUGCUGAGUUCUGAGUAAGCUGUAGGUAGAUUCAUGAAGCGCA